GAUCGGUUGCCUCCCUCCCAGCCCCCACCAUUCUUGUUUCCUUUUCAUACCCUUUUUUAACCAUCUGAGCAAUAAUUGCAAAUUCUCUGCUAGAUGGGGAAGGGGCUCCUGGCACCCGCUGGCAGCCUGCAUGGGGAAGCAGGGUCACACCUGCAGCAUGUCCCAGAGGGGUUUGGGGAGCCCGGGGAUGGGGUGGCACAGGUACUGUGUCACCACCACCCCAAAACGCCUCACGGGAAGAAAGCUGUGGGGAGUGGGGAUCUGCUUGUUCUGGCAGGCGGUGGUUGGAGAUAGGGGUGGUGGAAAUCAGCCUGUCCUGUCAGAUGUGUCAUGAAACUGCUCAAGGGAUUCAGCUGCCUCUGCAGCACACACAGACUGUACAUCAGGAGGUGUUUUCCUCUGGAAGGUAUAAAGUGCUGAGUGCUCUGCCUGGGAAGAACUGCUCGCUGAGCUCCAGCCUGUGCCCUGCAGGCAGCCUGGAUGAUCUUAAAACCCUGCUCCAUGUAAUAUCAAUUCACGUGCUCUGAGGGCAAAAUGCUGCCCUUUCUGUGGGAGGACACUUUCAGGCUGUGCACAGCUGGCUUGUUCUUGGCAGGACACCGUCACGUCCCCACAGGGCUGAGUGGCUGCUGUGCUGUGGGUUCCCAGUUCCCAAAUCUUUUUCCAGGUGGCACAGAGAGAGAAGGAGCAGCUGCACCAGCGGCACUUGCUUGGAUGCUUCCCCACACAGCUCUCCGGUGGAGGCAAAGGAACCCCUAUGAAACAUUCGGGCACCUCGUUGCUAUGGAAAGAAAACCGAUACGAGAUACACAGAAAAUGAGAAAAGUCUUCAGCUCUACGCCGCAGGCUGAAUUUUCUCCACAGAGGAUACCUGCAGCAUGCACAGACUUCACUGCCAGAAGGAACGAGUCAUUUAUUAGGUUUAUAUAGCACCGGGCACUUCGAGCAAGUCAUACAGAGCCAUGUGAUUCAUGCAAACCGCAGAGCUAAUCCUGAGACAGUGUCAUCGGUGAAGAAAAGCUAAGCUGCGACUGGCACUCCUGGCCAGGAACAAGCAGGGUCUCUGCCCUGGCUGUCUGGGGACGACGUCCCAGGGCUCCAAGCCCAGAGCUCACCAGGCUCACGGCAGCGGCGGCAGCGAGGAAUCCAGCCAUUGUCAGCGCCGUCCGACACAAGAACACAGGGCUUGAGUUGAUUAUUUGUGUCUGUUUCAACCGGGACAGUCCUAAUUUUCAAUUGCUGGUUUUUAUUUCAGUAAUCGGAAAGCACUCCUAAUUCAUUUUGCUCUUUUCUUCUGUGCGUCUUGAAAACAGCGCUGUGCUCAGACGAUAAAACAUCCUCUUGCUCUCCAAAAGUGUUUUUAUGUUCUUGUGUGAUGUGAAUUCUAAUCAGGCCUGUGGCAACAGCAUUAAUCUGAUAUUUUUUUUCCAAUUCCAUUUGAAGCUGUUGACCUCCUAUCAGAUAUUUUCAAAUCAGCAGCUCAUCUUUUCCUAUGAAACAAGCCCAAAUAUAAUAUGUAUUUCUCACCUCCUUGGUGCUCUGAAACUAAAAAAAAAAGAAAAAAAAAAGAGUGAUGAGGUUGCUACACAUCUAGUGUAACAGCAGGGCUGCUUCGUUGUUUCCUGGGUUGCUGUCAGCAUUUGACGAGAAGGGAAGGCAAAAGGUGGUUUAGUAUUGUAAGAGCAAAGGUGCUGUGAAACUCCAUGCUGGGGACCAUCCAAAAAAUCCACCUGUGCUUUGCAGCCCCUACAAAUCCUUCCUUAAAACUCAUUCAUGCAUUAAAAAAAUAUGUUUUGUAGUCUUGGUGCUGUAUCAUGAUAGAGAAACUCAAGAUAAACAGGCAAAGUAAAUCUUCCUGUGAUUUUGUAAAGGUUGUUCACGGCUGUAACAUUAAUUCAUUGUUCAGGAAACCUUCCCUUCGGUGGAAUAUAUCAUGUGCCUGCCUUUGUCAGGCGAUUGCUGAGGAUGUAUCCCCAACACGUCAACGCAGCGCUGCAGCUGUGUGCGGUCACCGGUAACUUUCUGGACACUGGAGAAGCUCCGAGGGAAAGUAAAUGUCAUGGAAGUUCAUGAAGAAGGUAGAUAGAUAGAAAGAUGUAAGUAUUUAUAGGCCUGUCUCCCUGACACGAGUCCCAGCAGCACAAUAGAGUGACUCACAUGGAUCCCGAUUAACAAGGAGGGAAAUAUAAUUAAUGCCAAUCAACAGGGUUUUAUGGGAAGGGACCCUUUCAAACUGACGUGUUAUCUUUUACUGAGCAGAUUGCAAGAUUGAGUGAUAAAGUUAACAAAGCUGAUGGAAAAAAAAAAAACAACUUUGACUUCUUUAAGGCCCCCGACUUGUGGCAGCAGAAGGAUGGGAACGCCGUGUGGCACGUCCCCAGCACCUAGCUGAUCGCCUUACACCACCACCGUGCUGCUCCUGGAGGGGCUCUGGGGGCACCUCAGGUGGCAGACCCUGCUCCCUG
rnacentral:lncRNA from 1 species